UGCCAGCCGCCGCGGUAAUACGGAGGGUGCAAGCGUUGUUCGGAAUUAUUGGGCGUAAAGCGCGUGUAGGCGGUUCGUUAAGUCUGAUGUGAAAGCCCGGGGCUCAACCCCGGAAGUGCAUUGGAAACUGGCGAACUUGAGUACGGGAGAGGAAAGUGGAAUUCCGAGUGUAGGGGUGAAAUCCGUAGAUAUUCGGAGGAACACCAGUGGCGUAGGCGCCUUACUGGACGGGAACUGACGCUCAGAUACGAAAGCGUGGGUAGCAAACAGGAUUAGAUA
rnacentral:rRNA from 1 species